CAGAAAAUAGUUUAAUAAAAAUAUUAAUUUUGGAGAUUAAAGAUGAAUAAUUUAUUUUUUUCUGA